UUGCAUGUGAAAAUCCCUGCUCCUCAUUCCUUUAAAAAGCAGUAAUAUAUCCAUAACAUGUUAUAUUUUGAAGAAACAGCA
rnacentral:snoRNA from 1 species